GACGAACGCUGGCGGCGUGCUUAACACAUGCAGGUCGAACGGAAAGGCCCUGCUUUUGUGGGGUGCUCGAGUGGCGAACGGGUGAGUAACACGUGAGUAACCUGCCCUUGACUUUGGGAUAACUUCAGGAAACUGGGGCUAAUACCGGAUAGGAGCUCCUGCUGCAUGGUGGGGGUUGGAAAGUUUCGGCGGUUGGGGAUGGACUCGCGGCUUAUCAGCUUGUUGGUGGGGUAGUGGCUUAUCAAGGCUUUGACGGGUAGCCGGCCUGAGAGGGUGACCGGCCACAUUGGGACUGAGAUACGGCCCAGACUCCUACGGGAGGCAGCAGUGGGGAAUAUUGCACAAUGGGCGGAAGCCUGAUGCAGCAACGCCGCGUGCGGGAUGACGGCCUUCGGGUUGUAAACCGCUUUCGCCUGUGACGAAGCGUGAGUGACGGUAAUGGGUAAAGAAGCACCGGCUAACUACGUG
rnacentral:rRNA from 1 species